CUCUACCUUCUUUUACGUGUCCA
rnacentral:piRNA from 1 species